GCACUGGUUGUUCAGUUGUAGAAUCCUUGCCUUCCAUGUAAGGAGACCCAGGUUCAAUUCCCGACCAAUGUG
rnacentral:tRNA from 1 species